GGGUGAAAAGGGAGGAGGGAGGGGAGAAGGCGGGGAAAGAGGGAGGGAGGAAGAGGAGGCGAGCCACGGGUGUUGGUGGGCUCAUUCCUGCCAGGCGCCUCUCUUUCCCCUCUUGGAGUCCCAUCUCGCCUCUGGACAGGACCCGGGAAGGAGCCCACCUCCAGACUCCUGGCACGGCUCCCCUCCAGUCAAGUGAUUGUAAAUAUAGCCCGGGAUGUUGUUUACAUGAACCAUCCAGGAGGAGGAGCGUAGGAAAGAGGAGGAGGAGGAGGAAGAAGAGGAGGAAGGCUGGAGGAGUCACCAAGGCUGGGGCACUGCAGACUUACUGAACCAGAGAAGUCAGCCAUAGCAGAGCACUUGAUGAACCAACCUGGACCUUCUCCCACCCUGGACCUUUCACAGCGUAUCACAGAAUGGCCCUGGAGGACCUAGCAAUUUCCUAGAGAGGCCGUUUCCCUCCAGCGUGGGUUCAACACCUCAGCGAUGCUAUUGAAGAGCCAAGCAUCGGUAUUCUCCAUGAUCAUCUUUCUUUAAAUGUACAUACAACUAUGGAGAGGUAAAGCCAUCGAUUCCUGCAGUUGUCUGUAUCCAGUAAAUAGAAGCAUUGUUAUUCCAAGGAUGUGAGUAGGCAAUGACUGACAGGCUGCCCUGGCUCAGUUAUCACUGUGCUGAUGCUGUCUAUACUAAAGGUACAGUACUGUGAUAACUGAAGGAUGGCAGCCAUCUUGCCUUCACAGAAACUCAACAAGUGGAGAGCAAAGAAGACAUUAUUCUGUUCUGGAAUCUUAGGUUAUGCUUCAUUUGUAAAAAUAAAAUGCAAAUAUGCUGGACAGGCCCUGUAAUAUACUAAGCUCACCGUCUUUUUUUUUUUUUUUUGCGCUUUAAGGGCAAUGUUAGAUUCAAAAUAAAUGGUGAAAAAAAGAGA